GGGUAAGGGUGAGAAGGUGGGGUAAGAGCCCACCGGCCGUGCAGCGAUGUACGGGCCGUGUGUCUUGGAGGCUGCAAGUUCAUGUAAACCGGCGCUUGAGGGUCGCUCGCCCGAGCCGGAGGGUAGAACGCUUUAGCAUUGUGGUGACACACUGCAUAGAUGAAUGACAGACACCCCGCAAGGGGCACAGAACCCGGCUUAUAAGUUGGCUGUUACA
rnacentral:RNase_P_RNA from 1 species